AAAGUGCGAUAAGUAAUGUGAAUUGCAGAAUUUGUGAAUCAUCGAAUUUUUGAACGCAAGUUGCGGUCUUCUACACGGAGACCAUGUUUGCCUGAGGGUUGUUUUUAAACCAAAUUGAGGUGUGUUUCCCCUUUUCUUGUAACAAAGAAGAGUAUAAACUCCCUUUAAAUGCUAAACCUUUUGUAGCAAUACAAAAGCAUUUCUAAGAGAUGUUUCAUUUUAUUAAUGAAAUUGAUCUUAAUAAUGGCAGGUUUAAAGACUUUUAACUAAUGGCAAGAGUGAGGGGGUAUAAAGGGAGGACUUAAUUGGCUUCUUUUUAUAUCUCCUUGCUUGCUUAUUAAAGCUAUUAGUUAUAUAUAAGGCUUUAUUCCUUCCUAAAAUCAAAAUGCAACCUCAGAUC
rnacentral:misc_RNA from 1 species